AGCCCUAGUUCCAACUGUUCCUUCAAGAACACUUGAAUCAGAACUAUUAGAAAAAUUUAGCCAUCUGGGUUGGUUUGAUAACAAGGUCUGUGCAUGAACCCCAGAGUCUAAGGGAAUUGAAGAAGGCAGCUGGGAAAGAAGUUCACAAGAUUUAGUUCUUGGAUGCUGAAAGACGACAUCCCUGCAAGGCACGACUGAUGAAGAAGAGACUGGAACUUGAAGUUCUUCUCCACCAUUUUGUGUGUUCUCAUUCCCACCACAACAACAAUCCAUCCAUUCAAGAAACCUUUGGUCAUCGCUCAAUUUCCAAAGAACACAAUAAUCCCAGCCCUUCAAACCCACAAGAGGCCUCAGUCUCUCCAUGGAGUCUUGAAACACGAUCAUGA
rnacentral:misc_RNA from 1 species